UAAGGACACCCUGUAUAAAACGAGCGAUCAAGGAAGAGAAUCUCGAUCGACCAAUCACGAAACGGACGAGUCUAUUUCGAGUCGAGCGCCGUUAUUACUUCCAUAGAAACUACUCUCGUUUAAUUUUUUAUCCAUAGGAUAUUUCUUUCUUCCGAUUUCUUUAUUCGUUGAAAUCUUGAAGGAGCUACGAUUUGGCAUUAAGUUCGCGUCAUCGAGUCCAUAUACCCGAACGAUCGAGAAAAUAUAACGAAAGAAUCCGAAAUGGACGAGUCCAUUUUUCUCGUGGUAUUAUCCGUUGUAAGAGACGCGUCGACGAAUCGCGAAGCAGGACUAGACGAUCGUCAAGAAUUUUCGACCAAUCGCGUGCGCCCUUUCGCGCGACUCGUUACGAUUCUUCGUCAGUCGAUUGUUUCGUUCGUUAAGAUUCACUUCGACGAUCGGUGCUCCUCUAUUAAACGCUCCAAUUAUGCAGAGAAAAUUGAUGAUAUUGCCGACAAAUAGCAGCUACGUCCUCUUCUAUUCUCGGCCAUCGCCUAUGGGUGCUAAUUUGAGAAGACACACGAUACGUCGCGUUAUUGCGACAUUACGGCGCCAUGCAGCAGAGGACGUAUGUACUACGUUAUACGUAGGUACAUAUCUCGAGGUGAAGAGGGGGUUUAUGUUAACGUCGAGUCUGAUGAGCAUCGUCGACGGUUCGAGAGUAUCAAGGUCCUCUCUUCUAUUGUUCUCCCCUCGAUGCGAUCGAGUCACCUGGAUGUCACGUGAUUCUUCGCUUACCUCGUUGACAUUUAUUCGAACGAUGUGCGAAUACCUGGUGAAACGUACGUUUAGUCAUUGUUCGUGUCUUUCCAAAGAAGAAACGAUAAGAAGGAAAGGAAUGCGGAGCUGACCGGAGCGUUAUAAUUCAAAGGAAAUGCGCUAGUUUCUUCGCACAGACGACGACGACGACAACGACGACGUUCUUCUUCUCCAUUCUGUACACAUCUACGGACAGACGAAUGAAGGAACGACGAAGGAAUGUACCUACGUCUCGUACAACGAAGGGGAAGAAGAAGAAGAAAUGAGGAGGGAAUAUAUUUAGAAAAGCUAGCACGCCUUGACAUCGCUCGUUCAUCGUGGCACCCUUGCGGAGGCUUUUAAAGGGUGACUCGACAUUGCGAAACGAAGGAAGAGGAUAUUAGAGAAGGCACAGGGGUUGGUUCGUUAGUGGAAUUGGGCUGCAAUCUAGGAACGGAACGGACACGAUUCUCUUUUUCCCCUCCUAUCCGUCCCUCUUUCGUUCUACACUCUCACCUCCUCCCCCUCCCCCUCUACUCUCGUCUUUUCGGCUUUCAGAGUCGCAGAGUCACGGAAGACUACACUCUAGGUAGCUUGUUAAGGUCUCUAGUAUCCAACGACGAUGACGACGACGACGACGACGACGACGACGAAGAAGAAGAAGAAGAAGAAGAAGAAGAAGAAGAAGAAGACGAUGACGACGAAGAAGAAGACGAUGACGACACCAUCGUCCUCGACAGCCACUCACUUCUCGUGGUGUAGUCGUACCGACGUCUCUAUCCCUUAUCUAUACGUAUGCUAUAUCUAUACGUAUGCCUUCGUUCCUUCCUUUUUUUCUUUCUUUACUUUUCGCUCACAAACACGCAAACACAUGAUAACUACGUGUAUCCCAGAGAAAGCCUUUCUCUUCCUUCCUUCCUCGACCUCUUUUCCGAUACUCUAUUGUAAAUCGUACUCUUUUUACUUUUCUCGAAUUCCCCUUCGACCAAAUCUCGACUCGAGCUCGGUUAACUAAGAGAUAACUCUCGCGAGUCUCUCGAACACGUGGCCACAUCGACCAACUUUCCAGUAAUCUCGAAUUGAUCAUACUGACUAAUAAUACCUCCAUCUAUAGUUAAUCAUGUUUCUCGUAUCAUCGAGAGUAUCGUUUACCACUCGUUUCAUUGUCUCGAUCGGUUGGCACGAAAUCAUCGAUGCGGAAGAAAGUCGGUGAAAGAGGAGAGGGAGGGAGGGAGGGAGAGAGGGAGAAGG